CCCACUGCCCAGUCACAGGCUUUGUAUAGGAUGUUGGUAAAAUCCUCAUCCUCCUGUAUUUUAUUUUUUAUUUGCCAUUUGUAGUAAAGGGGAUGCCACCACACACUCAAGAAAGGUUUCAUCCAACUUUGCUCACUGGCACAUAUCACACGCCUGGAAAGCCUCAGAUUCCCAUCACCCACAAGUGCAGCCACAGCCUUCUCCUGGAUGCAAGGAAGCAGAUAGCUGCCAGAAAACUCAUGUAGGACUGAAACCAACUGGGUGCUUGCCAGGCUACCACUCUUCUUGUGGAAGACCACAAUAGAAGUCAUGCGAGGAAAGCAAUGCAUUUGAGGCACAGAAGUCACACGAAUGGGAGCCAUCUCUCUCACAGGGAAUAUAUCCCAAAUCUUUUUAUCCACAACGACAGAUACAGGAGGCUUAGCAACUUUGAUCCUGGCACAAACUCCUGGAAGGGUUCUGUAGUUCCUUAUACUUUGUAAUGAAAUUUGCAACUUGCAAACAUGAAGUUGCCUUUGAGAUGCAAAUGAUACUAUUUUGACGACCCAUCAGGGGACACUAGAAGACGCCUGUCUGCUGUUUGAACUUCUUCCGCCUCUACAAGGGUCACACUUCCCUCGAUCACUUUGGACAGCUAGAAUCCCAAGCAAUUCAUAAUAUUGGUCAAUACUUUUGUUCCUCCGCUUGUCGAGCUUCUGACAUCAAGGACUAUUUUUAUUCCUUUGCAGAUUUAGAACAUGGAGGACACACCUAUAAAAAACUAUUUUUAUUAAGAAAAAUUCAGGCAAGCUUCCCUAGUGAUUUGCUCAUAACAGAACUGCACCACACUUGACAAGAGGCACGCCCCCAAACGCACAGUCCCCUAAAAUUAGCAAGACGAUUUGCAACAGUGCCAUCUGGUGGCUCCCCGUAAUGUUACAGAUGCAACAAAAUUCUCAGAGCCGGGAGCUAUUAAAAGCAGCGAGUAAAUGUAAGACAAAGA